rnacentral:rRNA from 1 species
CGGAAGGAUCAUUAACGAGUUGAACGGGGUUGUAGCUGGCCUUCACGGGCAUGUGCACACCUCACUCAUCCACUCUACACCUGUGCACUUACUGUGGGUUUCGAGAGGCCACGCUUGCGUGGUUGAUCGGGCUCACGUCUAUUACAAACUCUUCAGUAUCAGAAUGUGUAUCGCGAUGUAACGCAUCUAUAUACAACUUUCAGCAACGGAUCUCUUGGCUCUCGCAUCGAUGAAGAACGCAGCGAAAUGCGAUAAGUAAUGUGAAUUGCAGAAUUCAGUGAAUCAUCGAAUCUUUGAACGCACCUUGCGCUCCUUGGUAUUUUCCGAGGAGCAUGCCUGUUUGAGUGUCAUGUAAUUCUCAACCUAUAAAUCCUUGUGGUUUUUAGGCUUGGACUUGGAGGCUUUUGCUGGCUUUACCGUCGGCUCCUCUUAAACGCAUUAGCUUGAUUCCUUGCGGAUCGGCUCUCAGUGUGAUAAUUAUCUGCGCUGUGACCGUGAAGCGUUUGGCGAGCUUCUAACCGUCUCUUCGAGACAAACACUUUGACAUCUGACCUCAAAUCAGGUAGGACUACCCGCUGAACUUAAGCAUAUCA